AACCUCGCUACCGCAUCGGGUGGCUGGAGCUAGGAGAAGCCGUCCUGGAGCUGGUUUUAAAGGCCAACAGAGGGAAAAUAGAACCAAAGCAAAAGACCUGGCUGCCUCAAACAGGAUUCUAUUUCCUUACUUCUACCUAAUGACUGGUAUACUGCUUUGUGCCAGGCACCACUCAGAAGCCACAGCAAUGACCACACUGCGUUUCUUAAAGCCACCCGUGAUGCUCCCAUCCUGGAGGCAGAAGUCCAGAGUUGGUUUCACUGGGCCCAGUCAAGGUGUCGGCAGAGCCAAGCUUCCUCUGGAGGCUCAGGGAGAACCUCGGCUUCCUUGCUGCUGUCGCCCCUCACCCUCAGCUAGCUGCUGCAGCACUCCACCUCUCCCACCCCCACAGGGCACCCCAGCGUGUGUCAGUUAUCCCUCUACUUCACAUAAGGCACCUGUGAUGGCACUGAGGACCCACAUGAGAACAAUCUUCCCAUAUCGAGACUGCUGAAGACCCUGCAAAGGCCCUUCCACCAGAUAAGUUCCUGUCUACAAGUUUCUGAGACUCCUUGGACUAAGCAUCUUUGGGGGACCAGUUUUCAUCCUGCCACAAAGCCAUCUGGCUAAUAGGGACUCCCCUACAGUGAUAUCCCCAUUCAGGUUUGGGCAGGACUCCUAUGGAGAGAGCCUUUAUCUGUGACCUCAUCAAAGGAUAGGAAGGCAGACAUCGGGCAAUACAAGGAGCCCUUUGUCAGGCAGCCUGCAAUGAAGCACACCGCCCUCCUGGAGCUGCCAGGCCUCUGGGCUGCCCUGGACCAUAUCUCUGCACCAGCCAAGAGGCAAGACUGGGCGCAGCUUUGAAGAUUCCCUUGCAACAUCCAAAGAAUGCUGUUGAACCCCUCCCAGUUUCCCAGAAGACGCCUGGCACAGACAAACCCAGCAGGGACACCAAGCAAGCACCUGCCCAGAGGUGAGCCUCUACCUUCUGUCCCUGGGCUAUGCCUUGAACUCAAGGUCAGAACCCUCACUGCAUGCUCCCAGUCGUGCUGAAUCCCCCAACUUCCCUCUCCUGCCCUGCCCUCUCUCCUGCCCCUGUGGUCCUGACUUCCAAGCCAGGACUUCUGACUUUUAAAAACAUUUUAUUGUGUUGUGUGACUUUUUAUAAAGCAGAAUUAAAUAACUUUGGAAACAAA